GUCUUUUUGAUUAUAAUUUAAAGUCUAACCUGCCCAAUGAAUUAUUCAAUGGCCGCAGUAUUUUAACUGUGCGAAGGUAGCAUAAUAAUUAGUUUUUUAAUUGAGAACUGGUAUGAAUGGUUGGACGAGAAAAAAGCUGUCUCAGUUUAAAUUUAAUUAGAAUUUUAUUUUUAAGUAAAAAAGCUUAAAUAAAUUUAAAAGACGAGAAGACCCUAUAGAGUUUUAUAUUUAAUUAUUAUUUAGUAUAUAAAGAAUUUAAAGGACUUUAUUUUAAAAUAAUAUUUAAUUGGGGUGAUUAAAAAAUUAAAAAAACUUAUUAUUUAUUUUACCAUUAAUAUAUGAUUAGUUGAUCCAUUAUUUAUGAUUAAAAGAUUAAAUUACCUUAGGGAUAACAGCGUAAUUUUUUUUAAAAGUUCUUAUUGAAAAAGAAGUUUGCGACCUCGAUGUUGGAUUAAAAUAAACUUUUGGCGCAGUAGCUAUAAAGGUUAGGUCUGUUCGACCUUUAAAAUUUUACA
rnacentral:rRNA from 1 species